rnacentral:rRNA from 1 species
UAUGGUAAUUGUGUGCCGCCGCGGUAAUACGUAGGGGGCAAGCGUUAUCCGGAUUUACUGGGUGUAAAGGGAGCGUAGACGGAUGGACAAGUCUGAUGUGAAAGGCUGGGGCUCAACCCCGGGACUGCAUUGGAAACUGCCCGUCUUGAGUGCCGGAGAGGUAAGCGGAAUUCCUAGUGUAGCGGUGAAAUGCGUAGAUAUUAGGAGGAACACCAGUGGCGAAGGCGGCUUACUGGACGGUAACUGACGUUGAGGCUCGAAAGCGUGGGGAGCAAACAGG